UCUGGUGAAUGUUAUUUAUUGUUACUGCUAUACGACAUAGUAUAUUAAACAUGUGUGCAAAUUUUACAUACAUAAUGUACAUGUUUGGACAUCGCAUGCUUAUGCAAUAUGUAUAUAAAACCAAGAAUGUACCAGACAGACAGUAGAAUGAUUUGUAAUGUGCUUGAAGUUUACAAGAAUAUAAUGUAAGCUACCAUUCAUUAUAUGAGUGGAUAACAAUUGAAUAAGAAGGAAAUUCCAUACAAAUCGAG
rnacentral:lncRNA from 1 species